GAUGAAGAACGUAGCGAAAUGCGAUAAGUAGUGUAAAUUGCAGAAUUCAGUGAAUCAUCGAAUCUUUGAACGCACAUUGCGCCCUUUGGUAUUCCAAAGGGCAUGCCUGUUCGAGCGUCAUUUGUACCCUCAAGCUUUGCUUGGUGUUGGGCGUCUUGUCUCUAGCUUUGCUGGAGACUCGCCUUAAAGUAAUUGGCAGCCGGCCUACUGGUUUCGGAGCGCAGCACAAGUCGCACUCUCUAUCAGCAAAGGUCUAGCAUCCAUUAAGCCUUUUUUUCAACUUUUGACCUCGGAUCAGGUAGGGAUACCCGCUGAACUUAAGCAUAUCAAUAAGCGGAGGA
rnacentral:misc_RNA from 1 species